CAACCCCCAAGUCUUCUUUAUUUUCUUUUUCUUCGUUUUCAUUUCAGCCUACCGAAUUUCCAUGUCAGGAUUGUCCAGCCCAUCCAUGUUUCCUAGCGAAUCACAGAAUCACUUGACCACCACACGCAAAAAAGUCAGCAACUUCUUUGUCCUCUUGGACUGGCCUAAUUUUCUCUCCCUUCCUAUCCACACGGGCCAAG
rnacentral:lncRNA from 1 species